AUUGAACGCUAGCGGGAUGCUUUACACAUGCAAGUCGAACGGGUGGCGGACGGGUGAGUAAUAUAUCGGAACGUGCCCAAUAGAGGGAGAUAACUACUAGAAAACGUGGCUAAUACCGCAUAAUAUUGGCUCGGCCGUUACAGGCUUAGCUAGUUGGUGGGGUAAAGGCUAACGAAGGGGACGAUCCGGACCUGGUUUGAGAGGACGACCAGCCACACUGUGACUGAGACACGGCCCAGACUCCUACGGGAGGCAGCAGUGGGGAAUUUUGGACAAUGGGGGAAACCCUGAUCCAGCCAUCCCGCGUGUAUGAGAAGGUCUUCGGGUUGUAAAGUACUUUUGGCAGAGAAGCGGUAUCUGCAGAAUAAGCACCGGCUAACUACGUGCCAGCAGCCGCGGUAAUUC
rnacentral:rRNA from 1 species